CAACUCCGUAUUUCCACACUCCUGUCACCUUCUACCAGAAUAUUUUCAACAGGCUCAACAGGCUUCCUCAUUCUGCAAACAAACAAUGCAAAAGAUUAAUGAUAUUUAAUACUGGAAAUUUUUUCCAAUUAUCUGAGAUAAUCUAGACUACUUGGGUUGGGGUCAUGAAAGGAAUGGAACAUGGAUAAUAAAUAAGGGGAAUUCAGUGACAAGAUGUGGCCACUGGGUUAUGCCUUCAUAGAAGUGUCACAAACCACCUUUUUUCUUUAUAUAUUCUUGAUUC
rnacentral:lncRNA from 1 species